rnacentral:tRNA from 1 species
GUCUCAGUAAUGUAAUGGAUAAGCACGUCAUACCGAAAAUCUGCAGGUGCAGGUUCGACUCCCGUCUGAGGUU